GACAGAGGGGGCAAGCGUUGCUCGGAAUCACUGGGCGUAAAGGGCGCGUAGGCGGGAUGGCAAGUCGGUCGUGAAAUCCUUCGGCCCAACCGAAGAACGUCGGCCGAUACUGCCGUUCUUGAGGGAUGCAGAGGAGACUGGAAUUCCCGGUGUAGCGGUGAAAUGUGUAGAGAUCGGGAGGAACACCGGGUGCGAAGGGGGGGCUCUGGGGAUUUCCUGAAGCUGAGGCGCGAAAGCGUGGGGAGCAAACGGG
rnacentral:rRNA from 1 species